rnacentral:rRNA from 1 species
UACGGGGGGUGCGAGCGUUGUCCGGAAUCACUGGGCGUAAAGGGCGCGUAGGUGGCCUGAUAAGGGUGUGGUGAAAGUCCGGGGCUUAAACCCCGGAUCUGCCGUGCCGACUGUUAGGCUAGAGUGCUGUAGGGGCAGGCGGAAUUCCGGGUGUAGCGGUGGAAUGCGUAGAGAGCCGGAGGAAGCCGGUGGCGAAGGCGGCCUGCUGGGCAGAUACUGACACUGAGGCGCGACAGCGUGGGGAGCAAACAGG